UGAGUUUGAUCCUGGCUCAGAAUGAACGCUAGCGAUAGGUCUAACACAUGCAAGUUUAACGCAUACUGUAAAGUAUGAGUAGCGAACGGGUGAGUAACGCGUGAGAAUCUACCUCUUCCCCCCAACCAUGGAGAAAAAAAUCAAAGUGGUUAGGAGGGUUUUCCAAUACUCUGCAACCAGUUUUUCUGGUUGAUAGGUAUUGGAGAAAAAUAGCUCGGACUAAAAAAACUUGAUUUUUGAAUACCGAAUAAAAUAAAGGUCUUAUAAUUUGACCGCUGAGAGAUGAGCUUGCGUAGGAUUAGGUAGUUGGUGAGGUAAGAGCUACACCAAGCCAAAGAUCCUUAGCUGAUCUGAGAGGAUGAUCAGUCACACUGGGACUGAGACACGGCCCAGACGCUUUCGAGCGGCAGCAGUGAAGAAUCUUGGACAAUGGGCGAAAGCCUGAUCCAGCCAUAUCGCGUGAGUGAAGAAGGCCCAAUUGGUUGUAAAACUCUAAUUUCAAUUUAAGAUUAUGACCUCGAUUGAAAAAAAGUCCCGGCUAACUUCGUGCCAGCAGCCGCGGUAAUACGGGGGGGGCAAGCGUUAUUCAAAAUUACUGGGCGUAAAGAGCACGUAGGCGGUUUUUUUAGUGUAUUUUUGCGAAUCCCUACUUUUUACAGGUAUUCUUUUAUACCUAUCAAGAAUGGGAUUACAAAGAAGGCAUAUUAUAUAAAAAUAUGCGCGAUAAAUUCCUAAGCUCAACUUAGGUAAAUUGCUACUAACUGUUAAACUAGAGUAAGUGAGAGGAAAAUGGAAUUCCUGGAGGAGAGGUAAAAUUUGUAGAUUUCAGGAGGAACGCCAAAAGCGAAGGCAAUUUUCUGGCACUUAACUGACGCUGAGGUGCGAAAGCGUGGGGAGCGAGAGGGAUUAGAUACCCCUUUAGUCCACGCCGUCAACGAUGAAAAUUCACUAUCAGACAAUCUUCUCCUCUUUAAAAUGAAUGAGGUUUUUUGGUGGUUAUAGCUAACGCGUUAAAUUUUCCGCCUGAGGAGUACGGCCGCAAGGCUAAAACUCAAAGGAAUAGACGGGGGCUCACACAAGUGGUGGAACAUGUGGUUUAAUUCGAAACAACGCGCAAAACCUUACCAGUCCUUGACAUAAAUUAGAUUUUUUCUUUUAUCGGAAAAAAAUUCAAUUUACAGGGGUUGCAUGGCUGUCGUCAGCUCGUGUCGUGAGAUGUUUGGUUAAGUCCUUUCAACGAGCGCAACCCUCAUGAGAUGUUGGUCUAUAAAAUAGAAUUCCAAAUAAUAUUUUAUACCACUCUUCUCAAACUGCCAGUGAUAUACUGGAGGAAGGUGAGGAUAACGUCAAGUCCUCAUGACCCUUAUGGGCUGGGCUACACACGUGUUACAAUGGCAAUUACAAAAGUCAGCAAUGAUGCAAGUCGGAGCAAAUACAAAAAAAUUGUCUUAGUUCGGAUUGUUCUCUGCAACUCGAGAACAUGAAGUUGGAAUCACUAGUAAUCGUGGAUCAGCACGCCACGGUGAAUUCGUACCUGAGCCUUGUACUCACCGCCCGUCACGCUCCGGAAAUCGAGUGAAUCGGAAGUCUCACUUUUAUAAAAAAACAACCUGCCAACCAUUUUUUUUAUAAAAUUACCAUUGUUAUAACAGGUAGCUUUUUUAAAGGGUUUCGAUGAUUUGUUUGGUAACUGGAGCGAAGUCGUAACAAGGUAACCGUAGGGGAACCUGCGGUUGGAUAGACU
rnacentral:rRNA from 1 species